rnacentral:lncRNA from 1 species
CCAUCAAUGUGCUGUGUCAUUCCCAUAGCCCCACCUGCGCUCUUUCUUUAACUUUAGGCUUAGGUGACUUAAAUUUCAUUCAUCCUUCAAGUCACAUGUGAGUAUGACCAUAUCUUUGAGGUCCUAUCGCAUUUGUGUUGUAUAUACCCUUUAGGGUGUGCAGCCCACACUGAACCCUGACUACCUCAUCCUUAGACAGGGAUCACUACAGGAUCCCAUCCUUCAAGGCACAGCUGAUUAUAUUAGAAAGGGAUGUCAGUGACCAAACUGUUCAGGCUCUACCCAUACCACUCACUCUUACCACUUUAGUUUGCCCAACACCCAAGUGUCAGACUUAGCACAUUUUGCCUCAAGUCUCUCUCCAAAGCCGAAGAAGACCGUUCUCUCCAAGGACAGAGCAAGCCAGAAGUACUGUAGGAUUAUCACCCCCUAAUAACACCUUCAACCAAUGAUGAUGGGAGUUGAUGUGUAGUCAGUCCUUUGCCAGCUUGGAUGGAAUAACUGAGUGUAUGUUCUGCUGGGCAUUUUUCCAUUUCCCAGUGGAUUGCCCUCCGGUCACCCUUAGUCAGAGCCAGCUUAGUAACAUCCUAUAUUGGAUGCCUUAUCUUCCCCGUUCCACUUGCCCAUGUUCCUUUCUUACAUGCCCCCCCCAUGUAAUACGUUUGCACUGAAACUCUUAUUUCAAGGUCUGCUUCUUUGAGAAUCCAAACUAAGUCUACACCCAAACCAAGGGAGCCAGUCAGAUUUUCUCGCCUGGGAUUUUGUAUCUAAAAGCAAUGAAAUUUCACCUGGGAUGGUAUGAAAAUGUAUUCUUACUUUUUUUUAAAUUUUAGUCCAUUUCAGAGGGUCAGUUCCAUCCUUCAAUUCUAUUAUUCAUUUCUGUAUUUAUAUAACAAAUGUCUUUGGGUUUUAGCUAAGCAUAAAGUUGAGUUUUGUUACUUUGAACCAAAAUAUCUUAUUUUACCAUUUUUAUUAACUGAAAUAUCAUAUUUGAAAACAAGAUAGGACCCUUCAUCAAGUCCAACCUUCAUAUUGUAGAUAGAAAUACAAAAUGAAAAUAAUUGCCAGAGAUGCAAAGCCUUCCCUUUUUCUUUCUUCUAUCACCUUUCCCCAAACCUGGUACUGAAUACCAAAUGAAACUUCAUAUUUGAGAGCCUAUGUCCAUUCUUAGCUUCGUAUUAUCAUUCAUCUAUUCAUUCAACAAAUAUUUAUGGAAUGUUCACAUGCCAGUCAGUGAGUUAGGCACUUGAAAUAUAACAC